rnacentral:misc_RNA from 1 species
GUAACAAGGUUUCCGUAGGUGAACCUGCGGAAGGAUCAUUAUCAAAACAGCGGACUUCGGUCCUUGCUGCACCCUUGUCUUUUGCGUACCGUAUGUUUCCUCGGCGGGCUUGCCUGCCGGUUGGACAUUAUCAAACCUUUUUGUAGUUGCAAUCAGCGUCAGAAAAUAAUAAUAAUUACAACUUUCAACAACGGAUCUCUUGGUUCUGGCAUCGAUGAAGAACGCAGCGAAAUGCGAAAAGUAGUGUGAAUUGCAGAAUUCAGUGAAUCAUCGAAUCUUUGAACGCACAUUGCGCCCCUUGGUAUUCCAUGGGGCAUGCCUGUUCGAGCGUCAUUUUGUACCCUCAAGCACUGCUUGGUGUUGGGCGCUUGUCCUGCAAAGGACUCGCCUGAAAGCGAUUGGCGGCCAACGUACUGGUGGUAGAGCGCAGCACAAUUUGCGUCUUUCCCCUCUGCGUUAGCGUCCAUAAAGCCUAUUUCAACGUUUGACCUCGGAUCAGGUAGGGAUACCCGCUGAACUUAAGCAUAUCAAUAA